rnacentral:rRNA from 1 species
GAUGAACGCUGGCGGCGUGCCUAAUACAUGCAAGUCGAGCGAACAGACGAGGAGCUUGCUCCUCUGACGUUAGCGGCGGACGGGUGAGUAACACGUGGAUAACCUACCUAUAAGACUGGGAUAACUUCGGGAAACCGGAGCUAAUACCGGAUAAUAUAUUGAACCGCAUGGUUCAAUAGUGAAAGACGGUUUUGCUGUCACUUAUAGAUGGAUCCGCGCCGCAUUAGCUAGUUGGUAAGGUAACGGCUUACCAAGGCAACGAUGCGUAGCCGACCUGAGAGGGUGAUCGGCCACACUGGAACGGAGACACGGUCCAGACUCCUACGGGAGGCAGCAGUAGGGAAUCUUCCGCAAUGGGCGAAAGCCUGACGGAGCAACGCCGCGUGAGUGAUGAAGGUCUUCGGAUCGUAAAACUCUGUUAUUAGGGAAGAGCAAAUGUGUAAGUAACUAUGCACGUCUUGACGGUACCUAAUCAGAAAGCCACGGCUAACUACGUG